AUUGAACGCUGGCGGCAUGCCUUACACAUGCAAGUCGAACGGCAGCGCGGGAGCAAUCCUGGCGGCGAGUGGCGAACGGGUGAGUAAUAUAUCGGAACGUGCCCAGUAGUGGGGGAUAGCCCGGCGAAAGCCGGAUUAAUACCGCAUACGACCUGAGGGUGAAAGGGGGGGAUCGCAAGACCUUCCGCUAUUGGAGCGGCCGAUAUCAGAUUAGGUAGUUGGUGGGGUAAAGGCCUACCAAGCCUGCGAUCUGUAGUUGGUCUGAGAGGACGACCAGCCACACUGGGACUGAGACACGGCCCAGACUCCUACGGGAGGCAGCAGUGGGGAAUUUUGGACAAUGGGCGCAGGCCUGAUCCAGCAAUGCCGCGUGCAGGAAGAAGGCCUUCGGGUUGUAAACUGCUUUUGUCAGGGAAGAAAUCCCCUAGGCUAAUACCUUGGGGGGAUGACGGUACCUGAAGAAUAAGCACCGGCUAACUACGUGCCAGCAGCCGCCGUAA
rnacentral:rRNA from 1 species